UACGGAGGGGACUAGCGUUGUUCGGAAUUACUGGGCGUAAAGCGCACGUAGGCGGAUUUGUAAGUCAGGGGUGAAAUCCCGGGGCUCAACCUCGGAACUGCCUUUGAUACUGCAAAUCUCGAGUCCGGAAGAGGUGAGUGGAAUUCCUAGUGUAGAGGUGAAAUUCGUAGAUAUCUGGAGGAACACCGGUGGCGAAGGCGGCAUCCUGGACCAACACUGACACUGAGGAGCGAAAGCCAGGGGAGCAAACGGG
rnacentral:rRNA from 1 species